UCCCAGCAUGCAUUGCUGGUGGGGCUCGCCGCAUGGUGGCGUUCCAGUCGAACUCGUUUAACUUUUACCUAACCAACGAAUUCAGAACCUAACCGCCUCUUUCGCGCGUUCCACCGUGUUGUAAAAAGCUGAACGAACGCAAUAAAAACGAUCGCAACUGCUUCAGAUGGAAUAAUCUCGAAGCUUAGAACGCAGAUCGUCGACAUUGAAAAAACCAAUCAAUCGCAAAAAUGAUGGGGUUAUCUGACGAAUCCGGAGAAAUUCACUCAUAUUCACCAAUCCCUACACGGUGCCGGAGGAUGGAGAGGUAAUUACAACCAUCGAGCCAGAUUAUUGUGAGUAUUAUUAUUACCAUUUUUUCUCUCAUAAACCGCAAGUUUUUAAUACCUCGCCCAACGAAGAGAGUUCGCUGUCCGCUACGGGUGAGAGAAAAAUAAUAUUUUUGAAACAAAAUCUUGUAUCCCACAAGUUUUUUGCAAAUGCAAAAAUAUAAUGAAGUAAAUUCAUUGCAUACGAGCGUUAGUGCAGUAAAGGAAGGCAAAAUAUGCGUUCUCCGAGGGUGUCGUUCUCAAAGAAUAAUAAUAGCAGUAAAAAAAAAAUAAUCAAAAAAUCGGAGGACAUCAAAAGCACCGCAAUAUUUUCAUCGCAUUAACGGGGUAAAGUAUUAGCCAAUAAUGUCGGCGCCUAUAGUAGCGUGUCCAACGUCGACUUACCCAGCUGUUGCUGUAAAAGCAACACCUUGUUCACCUCAGCUCAUAUCCCUACACAACUCGUUUAAGGUAGAAGAUGGGGAAGAGAAUUAUGAAUGCGAAGGAGAACCUCGAACAAAAAUAAACAAACUGAAGACCAAAAAAAUAAAGAAGACUCGUUUACUUUGGAUAAUUUGCAUACCAUAUCUUGCAGCCAACGAGGAACGUAUGCAUAUAACUAGGUACAAUUCAACCGGCUAAUUAAACAGGUACCGAACGUAUUUUAAUUACGACAUGGCAAGGAUCUACAAUAUUAUUACUCGAGGUGCCGGCGUGCGACUUUCCAACCACACAGGGCUCAUCUUCUUCAUCAUCAUCAUCGUAUCUCUACCAAUUGAAUUACCCUCAGUACACGGCAGGAAGUGCGUGUGCACAAGCAAGUCAUGCCUGGAGGCAGGCACGGACACCCGCAGGACGCGUUUCUCCUGUUACACAGAACUCAUCCUGAUCGACGAGGGACAAGGAAACACUACAACCCGGGGCUGCGCCGAGAUAUACCUGGGACAUCAAUCGUCGUGUACGGGGCGAAUAUUAUAAUUUAUCUUUUGAUAUCAAAUACUGUAACACCGCGGUGGUAGACAUGUGUUCUAAUAAUUUCACUGACGUGAAUUUACGUUGUAAUUAUACCAUAUACGCAAGAAAAUGCAAGGCAUCAAACCGUCACUCUACAUACAUCCAACUCGGUAUGUCGGAUAGAAUAAUUAUAUACUAUAGUACCUAAUUGAAAUUGCACCUGUAACAAGUCACGGUAUAUUUUCCACGUAGAUUUCACGUACCAUGUAUGAGUAAAUUAUAUAAAACUACGUGCCAUGCCCAUUACGUAGUUUAUGGUAUUUAACCGUACGAAAUAUUUAUUUUAUUCGCUUCGUAUUUUUUUUUUUAUUUUUCCGUCAGAAUUCGGUGAAUCAAAAGAAACAGAACAAUCGAUUGAUUGUUAUAUUAAUUGACUGAAUUAACCGAAUAGUUUGUUGGAGGAAAAAAUUCUAUGCAGGCAUACAGAUUUAUUUUCAUCGGGGUACACGUAUUUGCACUUGUAAAAUAUCCCCCCAUCAUUAAUUCCGAUCUCAUCUUGAGCGACAUUCCGAUGAAUCAAUCUCAUAAUAUAUUGCUCAAGUUGCUUGUACCUCGGUAGGUUACACGACUGUCCGUAUGUAACGUGUUUUCUAUGUAUCGUACGCACAUGCCUAUAUACGAGUUCGCGUAAAAAAAUUGAAUUAAAAUCCAUCUACCUAUCAGUCGGGCGUAAUAUAAAUGAGUAUAUGUAUGUAUAAUUAUAUAAAACGAAUACGUGAUACACGUAUACUGAGCAGAUAUAUGAAUUUAUUUAGAGAAUCAAAACCGCGAGUUUGCUGUUAAGUUUUUUUUACUUAUUAUCAUUUUAUUUUUAUUUUCAUUUUAUUUUGCAUCCAUAUAAGCGUAAAUACAUGUAGGUAUGUAGCGCAAAAACUAUCCUGUACAAUUUAUACAUACAACGACGUGUGUCUUGCUGAAAUGUAGUCUGAAUUAAUUAAUGAA